CACGUAGGGGGCAAGCGUUGUCCGGAUUCAUUGGGCGUAAAGAGCUCGUAGACGGUUCGAUAAGUCGGGUGUGAAACCUCCAGGCUCAACCUGGAGACGCCACCCGAUACUGUCGUGACUAGAGUCCAGUAGGGGAGCGUGGAAUUCCUGGUGUAGCGGUGAAAUGCGCAGAUAUCAGGAGGAACACCGAUGGCGAAGGCAGCUCGCUGGGACGGUACUGACGCUGAGGCGCGAAAGCGUGGGGAGCAAACAGG
rnacentral:rRNA from 1 species